rnacentral:rRNA from 1 species
CCUGGUUGAUCCUGCCAGUAGUCAUAUGCUUGUCUCAAAGAUUAAGCCAUGCAUGUGUAAGUAUAAAGUAAUUCAGACUGUGAAACUGCUAAUGGCUCAUUAAAUCAGUUAUAGUUUGUUUGAUGGUAUCUACUAGUCGGAUAACCGUAGUAAUUCUAAAGCUAAUACAUGCAACAAACCCCGACCUCUAGAAGGGAUGCAUGUAUUAGAUAAAAGGUCGAUGCGAGCUAUGCCAUUGCUCUGAUGAUUCAUGAUAACUCGAUGAAUCGCACGACCUUUGUGUCAAUGACGCAUCAUUCAAAUUUUUGCCCUAUCAACUUUCGAUGAUAGGAUAGUGGCCUACUAUGGUGGUGACGGGUGACGGAGAAUUAGGGUUCGAUUUCGAAGAGGGAGCUUGAGAAAUGGCUACCACAUCCAAGGAAGGUAACAGGUGCACAAAUUACCCAUUCCUGACACGGGGAGGUAGUGACAAUAAAUAACAAUAUCGGGCUCUAUGAGUCUGGUAAUUAGAAUGAGUACAAUCUAAAUCCCUUAAUGAGGAUCCAUUGGAGGGCAAGUCUGGUGCUAGCAGCCGUGAUAAUUUCAGCUCCAAUAGCACAUAUUUAAGUUGUUGCUGUUAAAAGGCUCGUAGUUGGAACUAGGGUUGGGUCGUCCGGUCCACCUCACGGUGAGCACCAGUCUACUCGUCCCUACUAUCGACAAUGCACUUUUAGACUUAAUUAUUAGGGUAAUUCCACCAGUGCUGUUACUUUGAAAAAAUUAGAGUGCUCAAAGCAGGCCUACGCUUGUAUACAUUAGCAUGGGAUAACAUCAUAGGAUUUCGAUCCUAUUGUGUUAGCCUUCGGGAUCAAAGUAAUGAUUAACAGGGAUAGUCAGGGGCAUUCAUAUUUCAUAGUUAGAGGUGAAAUUCUUAGAUUUAUGAAAGACGAACAACUAUGAAAGCAUUUGCCAAGGAUGUUUUCAUUAAUCAAGAAUGAAAGUUAGGGGCUCGAAGAUGAUUAGAUACCAUCCUAGUCUCAACCAUAAACAAUGUCGACCAGGGAUCGACGGAUGUUACUUUUAGGACUCCGUCGGCACCUUAUGAAAAAUAAAAGUCUUUGGGUUCCAGGGGAAGUAUGGUCGCAAGGUUGAAACUUAAAGGAAUUAAUGCAAGGGCACCACCAGGAGUGGAGCCUGCGGCUUAAUUUGACUCAACACAGGGAAACUUACCAGGUCCAGACAUAGUAAGGAUUGACAGACUGAGAGCUGUUUCUUAAUUCUAUGAGUUGUGGUGCAUGGCCGUUCUUUGUUGGUGGAGUGAUUUGUCUGGUUAAUUUCGUUAACGAAUGAAACCUCAGCCUGCUAUCUAGCUAUGCAGAGGUGAUCCUUUAUGGCUAGCUUCUUAGAGGGACUAUGGCCACUUAGGCCAAGGAAGUUUGAGGCAAUAACAGGUCUGUGAUGCCCUUAGAUGUUCUAGGCCACACGUAUGCUACACUGAUGUAUUCAAUGAGUCUAUAGCCUUGGUCGACAAGCCCCAGGUAAUCUUUGAAAUUUCAUCAUGAUUGGGACAGAUCAUUGCAAUUGUUGGUCUUCAAUGAGGAAUUCCUAGUAAGCGCGAGUCAUCAGCUCAUGUUGACUACGUCCCUGCCCUUUGUACACACCGCCCGUCAUUCCUACCAAUUGAGUGGUCCGAUGAAGUGUUUGCAUCACAACGACGUGGAUGGUUCGCUGCCUAUGACAUCGCGAAAAGUCCACUGAACCUUAUCAUUUAGAGAAAGGAGAAUUCGUAACAAGGUUUUCGUAGGUGAAGUUACGGAAG